UACGGAGGGAUCUAGCGUUAUUCGGAAUUACUGGGCGUAAAGCGAGCGUAGGCUGAUUUGUAAGUUGGAUGUGAAAUCCCAGAGCUUAACUCUGGAACUGCAUCCAAAACUACAUUUCUUGAGUUUGGUAGAGGAGAGUGGAAUUCCUAGUGUAGAGGUGAAAUUCGUAGAUAUUAGGAGGAACACCAGUGGCGAAGGCGACUCUCUGGACCAAUACUGACGCUGAGGUUCGAAAGCAUGGGUAGCGAACAGG
rnacentral:rRNA from 1 species